rnacentral:lncRNA from 1 species
AAUUGUUAAAUGUCAGCAUUUUGCUGAAGAACUGAAGGACAAUGCGACAACUUUUUUAUAAACUAAUGUCCAAGUUGUCUGAAUCUACAACUUGUGAAGUCAUAAAGGGAAAACAAAAAGCUUGGACAAAACAUCAGAUUAAAGAAAUAUUCAAUCUAACAUGAAACAUAACUCGAGAAAUAUUCAAUCUAACAAUGAAACAUAACUUGAGAAAUAUUCAAUCUAACAAUGAAACAUAACUUAAGAAGUGUCCAAUCUAACAUGAAAUAUAACUGCAGUAAGAGUUAACAGUAAGU